rnacentral:misc_RNA from 1 species
AAACAUAAACCCUUUUCUUGAUUUAUGUGCUUGUUCUUUGCCUAAACUUCCAUGGUAGGUUAUGUCCUCACCUGUGUAACCGGAGAGUUUGCUCUCUUUGGAAAGCUUGGUUGCAGAUUUCACACACCAAUCUGUUUGUAGCUAAAAGUUACAACAGUUUACAUUGAUUUUUUUUAAUUAUUUUCAUUAAAUUGUGAUUAGAAUUUAAAUAGGAGAAUUUAUUGUUUUGAAGGCUCACA